rnacentral:pre_miRNA from 1 species
UGUCACGUCAAAUUGUCUGUGGUGUGUUAUUUUUCCUCCACAUAUCACAGCCAUAUUUGACGAGUUCCG